rnacentral:lncRNA from 1 species
GUGAGGGCUGUGUGACUGUAUGGUGAGGGCUGUGUGACUGUAUGGUGAGGGCUGUGUGACUGUAGGUGAGAGCUGUGUGAUUAUAUGGUGUGUGACUGUGUAGUGUGACUGUGUGGUGUGACAGCAGAAUAACUGCUUGGUGGUCUCUGUAGUGUGACUGUGUGAGGGCUGUGUGUCACUAGGUGUGACUGUGUGAGGUGUGACUGUACAGUCCAGGAUGUAGCCCACUAGCUCUGGUCCAGGGCAUUAGUGCUGCUCUCUAACACUGAGCCUCCUGAACAGGCUGCACUAACACCCUGGACCAGAGCUAGUGGGCAACGUGACAGACAACAGAUGAGAUAUCUCAGCAUUAAUAGAUU